rnacentral:lncRNA from 1 species
CCACAUGAUACCUACUCUGGACAUGGCCAAGCUCUUCGCUACCAAAGGAGCUAAAUCCACUAUCCUCACUACUCCUCUCAACUCCAAGCUCUUCUUCGAGAAACCCAUCAAAUCAUUCAACCAAGAGAACCCGGGUCUCGAAGACAUCACAACCCAGAUCCUUGAUUUCCCUUGCACAGAGCUCGGUUUGCCGGAAGGAUGCGAGAACACCGAUUUCAUCUUCUCGAGCCCUGACCUAGAUAAAGGUGACUUGGGUCAAAAGUUUUUACUUGCAAUGAAAUAUUUCCAAGAGCCAUUAGAGCAUGUCCUCGAGACAAUGAAACCAGACUGUCUAGUUGGAAACAUGUUCUUCCCCUGGGCCACUAAAGUAGCUGAGAAGUUUGGAGUACCGAGACUUGUGUUCCACGGAACAGGCUGCUUCUCUUUAUGUGCUUCUCAUUGCCUUAGGCUCCACAAGCCUUACAAGAAGGUAGCGUCGAGUUCUGAGCUCUUUGUGAUUCCUGAACUUCCAGGAGAUAUUGUGAUUACAGAGGAACAGGUCAUAGAGAAAGAAGAUGAGUCUGUAAUGGGGAAGUUUAUGAAGGGAAUCAGAGAAUCAGAGAGAGAAAGCUUUGGUGUGUUGGUGAAUAGCUUUUACGAGCUUGAACCUGCUUACGCUGAUUUUCUAAAGAGAUCUGUGGCCAAAAGAGCGUGGCACAUCGGUCCGCUUUCUUUAGGCAAUAGAAAGUUCGAGGAGAAAGCAGGAAGAGGUAAAAAAGCGAGCAUUGAUGAACAUGAAUGUUUGAAAUGGCUUGAUUCCAAGAAAUGUGAUUCAGUGGUUUACUUGUCCUUUGGAACCAUGUCAAGCUUCAAUAAAGAUCAGCUUAUCGAGAUUGCAGCUGGGAUGGAAAUGUCAGGACAUGAUUUUGUCUGGGUGGUUAACAAAUAUGGGAGCCAAGGUACCAUAGACAUCUCUCUCUCUCUUGGUAUUGUUUUUCAGCUUAAUCCUCUGUUUUUUCGUUAAGAGAAAACAUAAUGGUUAAAGUUUCAUACUCUUUUGCAUUAAUAUAUGAAUAGGUGAGAAGGAGGAGUGGUUACCAGAGGGAUUCGAAGAGAAGACGAAAGGAAAAGGAUUGAUCAUCCGAGGAUGGGCACCACAAGUGCUGAUACUAGAGCACCAAGCAAUAGGCGGAUUUGUGACGCAUUGCGGAUGGAACUCGCUUCUAGAAGGCGUAGCAUCGGGACUGCCAAUGGUGACGUGGCCCGUGGGAGCCGAGCAGUUUUACAACGAGAAAUUGGUGACACAAGUGUUGAAAACAGGAGUGAGUGUAGGAGUGAAGAAGAUGAUGAAAGUCGUUGGAGACUUCAUCAGCAGAGACAAAGUGGAGAGAGCGGUCAAGGAAGUGAUGGCUGGAGAUGAGAGGAGGAAACGGGCAAAAGAGCUAGGGGAAAUGGCGAAAACCGCCGUGAAAGAAGGAGGAUCUUCAUAUAUUGAGUUGAAUACGUUGAUGGAAGAACUUAAGUUAGUUAAACUGCAAAAAGAGAAGGAAUCAUAAAAAAAAAAAAAAACUGAACGUUUUGCAAGAUAAGGAACAAUGUUUUUGUAAUUCUACUGGUUUUGAGUUACCAAAGAUUACUACAGAAAAUUGUAUUUGAUCAUUCAAGUAAUUUACAAAGAAUGAACUUCUUAGUUGGUACUAUUGGUAAAGGAACGAGGACACAAACCCAACAAGUGAAGUUAGGUUACAAAAAAAAAGAACAAGAACGACACGGAAUACACAUAGAUUUGGUACACACCGACAUCAGUUUCUAACUCUUCUUUUUAAAAAUUUUAAUAAAUUUCAGAGAGUAUUUUAAUGCCACACACAUUUUAUUUGAUUAGCAUCAAACUCUCUCUAACGAUUAUAACUCCGUAAUUAGCAUCAGCCAGUUUUGCAUACCUUAAUAAUAUUUCGUUUUUGUUUUAUUCUCUCGAUCAGUCGUCACAUCGAUUAAGGGAAACGUCUUUAAUCUCAAACAAAAGUCUAAGGUUAGUUGCAAUAUACGUUCUUCAUGUACCACACUUUUCUCUAGUGCAAAGACCCUAAUUGACCAAGUCAAGUAAACCAUUGCUUUGCAUUGGUGUUAUGGAUAUGUAGUUAUGCACCCUCGGAGUUAAAACCAGCAAAAUUAAUUCAUGUAAGUGACAAAAAAAAAAAAAAAGAAGAAGACCCAUCGCAUUAAACAAUUAUUUCCGAAAAUGUUUAAAAAAAAAAAAAUUAUUUUCGAAAAUGUUAACAUUAUGUAGGUGUCAUGACUCAUGAUAUGAUAAUUAAUCCCAAAACCGAGUUACAAGUUCUAACAAAAGACCUUGACAAGUCAUCAUAGAUUACUACGACAACUCUGCCACGUUAAAAGAGCAAAGUACCAAAGAAACCAAAACUAGAGACGUAUGCGAAGACGUCAGUAGCCGUUACCGAAUUAUGUUUUUUACUCAUCAGAAUCCAAAAUUUCCGUGAUUUCUUGUUCGUUAUCUAGAUAUAUCAAUCAAUCAUAGACUCUUUAUAACCAUUCAAAUUCAUCAAGACGAGAAUAAAUAAUUUAAUAUAUUUUCUACGAGCUCUUUCAUCUCUCUAUUAUUUGUUUUUUUUCUUCUCAGAUUUUCUCAAACACAUCUCAUAUUCUUUUCAACCGGCCAGUCAUGGGUAGUGAUCAUCAUGGUCAUCGAAAGCUUCAUGUCAUGUUCUUCCCUUUCAUGGCUCAUGGCCACAUGAUACCAACUCUAGACAUGGCUAAGCUUUUCUCUAGCAGACGAGCCAAAUCCACAAUCCUCACCACGCCUCUCAACGCCAAGAUCCUCCAGAAACCAAUCGACGCAUUCAAGAACCUGAAUCCUGGUCUUGAAAUCGACAUCCACAUCUUCGAUUUCCCUUGCGUGCAGCUCGGGUUACCACAAGGAUGUGAAAACGCUGAUUUCUUCACUUCAAACAAUGAUGAUGGAAACGAGAUGGAAUUGAAAUUCUUUUUCUCGACAAGGUUUCUCAAAGACCAGCUUGAGAAGCUCCUUGAGACAACGCGACCAGACUGUCUUAUCGCCGACAUGUUCUUCCCCUGGGCCACUGAAGUUGCUGGGAAGUUCAAUGUGCCAAGGCUUGUGUUCCACGGCACUGGCUACUUCUCUUUAUCAACUGGUCAUUGCAUCAGAGUGCAUAAACCACAAAACAGAGUAGCUUCAAGCUGUGAGCAAUUUGUGAUUCCUGAGCUCCCUGGGAACAUACUGAUUACUGAAGAACAGAUCAUAGAUGGUGACGGAGAGUCUGAGAUGGGGAAGUUUAUGACUGAGGUUAGGGAAUCGGAAGUGAAGAGCUCAGGAGUUGUCGUGAAUAGUUUUUACGAGCUUGAACCUGAUUACGCCGAUUUUUACAAAAGCUCUGUACAGAAGAGAGCCUGGCACAUCGGUCCGCUCUCUGUUUAUAACAGAGGAUUUGAGGAGAAGGCUGAGAGAGGAAAGAAAGCAAACGUUGAUGAGGUAGAAUGCCUCAAUUGGCUUGACUCCAAGAAACCAGAUUCAGUCAUUUACGUUUCUUUUGGGAGCGUGGCAAACUUCAAGAACGAGCAGCUCAUCGAGAUCGCUCAAGGAUUAGAAGCUUCUGGCUCAAGUUUCAUUUGGGUCGUUAGGAAAAAUACAAGUAUUAAUUGUAAUUCAAGUUUAAAACAAUUAUCAGCCUAUAUAGAAUGUAAUACAACUGUGGUUUCUAAACAAACUUUGGUGUGAACAGGUGACAAUGAAGCAUGGUUACCAGAAGGGUUCGAAGAGAGGGUGGAAGGUAAAGGGAUGAUAAUAAGAGGAUGGGCUCCUCAGGUGCUGAUACUUGAACACCAAGCGAUCGGUGGGUUUGUGACCCAUUGCGGCUGGAACUCGCUUCUCGAAGGAGUAGCUGCAGGGGUACCGAUGGUGACAUGGCCGGUUGGAGCGGAGCAAUUCUACAACGAGAAGUUGGUUACGCAAGUGCUGAGGACAGGAGUGAGCGUGGGAGCGAAAAGACAUAUGAAGGUAAUGGGAGAUUUCAUUAGCAGAGAGAAAGUGGAUAAAGCGGUGAGGGAGGUGUUGGUUGGGGAAGAGGCAGAGGAGAGGCGGAGGCGGGCCAAGAAGCUGGCGGUGAUGGCUAAAUCCGCAGUGGAAGAAGGAGGGUCUUCUUUCAACGACUUAAAUAACUUCAUAGAAGAGUUUAGUUCAUAAUUUUACAUAUAGAUUCCGUUUAGGAAUCCCCUAUGAGAAGUAAAGAUGUAACCUAAUGCAAAUAUAUAUAAGAGACAAAGCAUAGGCUAAGUGAAUAAAGCACCGUUCAUUAGCAGACGGAUAAAGAUGCAAAGUUAAUGAAUAAUGAAUUUGGUAUUUGAGUUACUCUUUCUUGAAUCACAACAAUUUACUUAUGUUGUUUUUAUUAGCUGUUGAAUUCCAUCUCACCUGCUGUUCAGGUGUUAAGAAGUAUUUUUCAUAUGUCUUUUGUUAUGUGAAGAAAAGUUGGAUUUGUUCAUUAAAUUUGAAAGUGACAUAUAAGUUUGUGAUAUUGGUAAAGAACGGUGGUUGUAAUUUUUAUAGUUUAGCAGAAUUAUGUUGUAACGUUUUUUUUUUUUUNNNNNNNNNNNNNNNNNNNNNNNNNNNNNNNNNNNNNNNNNNNNNNNUUCCAAAUAGCAAUUUGCAUUCUUCUAUCUGGUGGACCAAUGGCAAUCACUCCCCUACGUGUAAUGAAUAAAGUACUACAAUAGGGUAUAUAUUCUCUAGUAAAUGCUUUUCAAUUAUCUUAGUCAAAUCACUUUUACAGUUUACUUUUUUUUUUUCCAUAAAAAAGAGAUAAACUAAUGAUAGUAAAUAAAUAUAGAUCUACAAGUUACAAGAUUUUGGUUCCAAAGGACCUUGAAAAAUGAAAACUCUUACAAAGUGACGUAUGUAAACACGUCAGAAACCAUUAUAUAUAUACCCAAAAAUAGCCCCACCCAUGAUCCAAGCUUCCAUGUGAAUUUUUGUGCUAUAUAUACACAUAGACGAUAUGUAUUAAACUCAUACUACAAACACGAAAACAUCACUUCAAGAUCUCUCAUUUCACAUAACUAUUUUUCUUUUAAGUUUCUCAGAACAUCUCAUUUUCUUUUCGACCAAAUUCAAACAUGGGUACUGAUCAUUCCCCUCGUAGGCUCCAUGUUAUGUUGUUCCCUAUCAUGGCUCAUGGCCAUAUGAUACCUACUGUAGACAUGGCUAAGCUUUUCUCUACCAGAGGCGCCAAAUCCACUAUCCUCACCACACCUCUCAACGCCAAGAUCCUCCAGAAACAAAUCGACACAUUCAAGAACCUGAAUCCUGGUCUCGAUAUCGGCAUCCACAUCUUCGACUUCCCUUGCGUGGAGCUCGGGUUACCACAAGGAUGCGAAAACGCUGAUUUCUUCACCU